AGGUACAAGCCUGUGCAGAAAGUGGAUGGAGUUGCAGAUGGUUUCACAGGAAGUGGUCAACAGACAGGUACAUCUGCUGAACAAACUAUAAUUGCCCAAAGUCAACAUCAUCAACAGUUUUUAGACGCAUCUCGAGUACUUCCAGAGUUUGGGGAACUUGAAAUAUCUUCACUGCCAGAUGGUACUACCCUUGAGGACAUAAAAUCACUGCAAAGUCUUUAUCGAGAACACUGUGAGGCAAUUGUGGAUGUUAUUGUGAAUCUUCAGUUUAGCCUGAUAGAAAAAUUGUGGCAAACUUUCUGGCGCUAUUCUCCCUCUGCUCCAGCUGACGACACAGCUAUUAUUGAACUGA